rnacentral:lncRNA from 1 species
GGCCAAAAAAUCUUGCCCGAGGCCCGGCCUAUUUUUUAAACGAGCCUAAAAUUUUGUCCAAGCCCAUAUUUCGGGCCUAUAUUUUUACCCAAACCCUCCCAUAUUUCGGGCGGGCCGUCGGGCCGGGUCAGGCCGCCCGGCCCAUGGACAGGUCUAGUGAGGAGUGGUUACAAAUUAUUACUUGAAAAUAACUAUGACCCAACUGCUACAGACUUACAAUAGAAUAUAGAUAAUUUUUACAAGCGAUUGUGGAGCCUCAACUUAAAUGCAAGACAAAAUAUUACAAUUUGGAAGAUUUCGUGGAACUUUCUGCCUACUUUGAUUAAUUUACAUUUUCGAAGACUUGGGGUAAAUACAGUUUGUCCAAAAUGUGGAGGAGGAGUGGAAAGUAUUCAACAUGUAUUUCGAGUUUGCCUUGUGUCAUUGGAAGAGUGGAAUUCUUUAAAUCCUAUGUGGGUUGUCUCUAUGGCAAAUUUAGAUAAUUGGGAGUGGCUCACCUGGCUGUUUAAACGAAGCUCAAUUUAUCAGUGUCAUUUAUUCUGUUGCGCCUUAUGGGUGAUCUGGACAAAGCGAAGUAAGAAGUUGCAUGAAGCUAAGAGUAGUACUGGAAAAGGGAUUGCUGAAAUGACCAAUAGAUUUCUCAGGGAAAUUGAUGAAGUGGGGAAUGGAUCCCUUACCAAACAAUGGGUAGUGUCGGAAUGGAGGCCUCCAGAAACCCAAGUUGUUAAGAUCAAUUUUGGUGCGACGUAUGAUUGUAAUCAACUCGGAUCAACUUCGGGGUUGGUGGCUAGAAAUGGUGAAGGAAAGGUGCUAGCCUCAAAAUAGAUUGUGUAUAGAGGUUGCCUCUUUGUUUGUAGCAGAGGCCCAUGCAUGUCUUCAUGCUGUGCGAAUGGGGUUAGCCAUGAAAGUAGGCAAGAUUGAGGUUGAAGGAGAUGCAUUAACAAUCAUAAAAAAGUGUCAAUCUACAACCAUCGACAAAUCGAUUAUAGUAGUAUAUAUUCAAGACAUUCAACAUAGCAAAAACGGUUUUCAAAGUAUCCAGUUUAAACAUGUUUCAAGAUUGGCAAAUAAAAAAAACCCAUAGAAUCGUAGGAGAGAGUUUAAGAAAGCAAGAAGAGGUUUACCUGGAAGGAUCGAUACUUGGGUAUGCCAUGGAAUCGCUGGGUUCUAGUCGACAAAGAGAGUGAGAGCCUGAUUGAGGCGAACUGAGGAAGCAUAAAGGUUGAG